GAUGUACUCCUCCCCGGUGUUUAAUACAAGCAAGUCGAGCGAAGGGACGAGUCGCUCUCUUCUCUGACGUUAGCGGCGGAAGAGGGAUUAACACGUGGAUAACCGCUUGAUAAGGCUAGGAUAACUUCGGGAAACCUGAGCCAAUAUCGGGUAAUCUACAGAACAGCAAGGCCUAAAUGCCACAGACGGUCUUGCCGCUAGUGAUAGAUGGAUCCGCGCUGCAUUAGCUAGUUAGUAAGGUAAAGAUUUAACAAGGCAACAAUGCAUAGCUGACCUGAGAGGGUGAUCGGCCACACUAGAACUGAGACACGGUCCAGACUCCUACGGGAGGCAGCAGUGGGGAAUCGUCCGCAAUGGGCGAAAGCCUGACGUAGCAACGCCGCGUGAGUGAUUAAGGUCUUCGGAUCGUAGAACUCUGUUAUUAGGGAAGAACAUAUGUGUAAGUGACUGUGCACAUCUUGGCGGUACCUAUUCAGAAGGCCACGGCUAACUACGUG
rnacentral:rRNA from 1 species